GAUGAACGCUGGCGGCGUGCCUAAUACAUGCAAGUCGAGCGAACAGACGAGGAGCUUGCUCCUCUGACGUUAGCGGCGGACGGGUGAGUAACACGUGGAUAACCUACUUAUAAGACUGGGAUAACUUCGGGAAACCGGAGCUAAUACCGGAUAAUAUAUUGAACCGCAUGGUUCAAUAGUGAAAGACGGUUUUGCUGUCACUUAUAGAUGGAUCCGCGCCGCAUUAGCUAGUUGGUAAGGUAACGGCUUACCAAGGCAACGAUGCGUAACCGACCUGAGAGGGUGAUCGGCCACACUGGAACUGAGACACGGUCCAGACUCCUACGGGAGGCAGCAGUAGGGAAUCUUCCGCAAUGGGCGAAAGCCUGACGGAGCAACGCCGCGUGAGUGAUGAAGGUCUUCGGAUCGUAAAACUCUGUUAUUAGGGAAGAACAAAUGUGUAAGUAACUAUGCACGUCUUGACGGUACCUAAUCAGAAAGCCACGGCUAACUACGUG
rnacentral:rRNA from 1 species